rnacentral:rRNA from 1 species
UACGUAGGGUGCGAGCGUUGUCCGGAAUUAUUGGGCGUAAAGAGCUCGUAGGCGGUUUGUUGCGUCGGCUGUGAAAUCCCGAGGCUCAACCUCGGGUCUGCAGUCGAUACGAGCAAACUAGAGUGUUGCAGGGGAGACUGGAAUUCCUGGUGUAGCGGUGAAAUGCGCAGAUAUCAGGAGGAACACCGGUGGCGAAGGCGGGUCUCUGGGCAUUAACUGACGCUGAGGAGCGAAAGCAUGGGGAGCGAACAGG